CGAAUAUGAGAUUUCACUCUCGGCCAAAAGUGGACAAACCUUUAUCUCGACUAAUUUCAUUCUAUUCUGAUGAUUGCUGAGACAUCGAAGUCUGACUGAGCUAAAUGAACGUAUGUUGCAAGGAACUGAUUCGAAGCUGAUAACCAGGUGAAAACGUUAUACUUCCGUGACCGCAAACCAAUUGCAAGUGGGCCUCCGAGCAGGGGCUUCAAGUCAACCUUUGGAGUGCUGAGCCAGGGAGUCUGACGAACAAGCAGCAACCAAAUUCCUUGGUUAAAGAGUCAUUUACCUUUGCUCAAUUAACGAUCCAGUAUUUCUUCAUGGCUACCGCUGCAGCACCUUCGUUUCAUUCAACAAAAGAGACAACCAAUUACGCCCGCUUAUGCAGGCUUCUAGUGGGUGUCAGUGCACAUAUCUUGAGAGAGACAUUUGACAAAAGGCGUCCGCCAGGAAACCUGGACACAGUUUUGUCCAGUCUUCCGAUUCAUCGAGUGC